UACGUACCGUCCAAACGUUAUUCGGAAUUACUGGGCUUAAAGGGUAUGUAGGCGGCGCUGUUAGUCGGGUGUGAAAUCCCACGGCUCAACCGUGGAAUUGCGCCCGAUACUGCAGUGCUUGAGGGAGACAGAGGUAAGCGGAACUGAUGGUGGAGCGGUGAAAUGCGUUGAUAUCAUCAGGAACACCGGUGGCGAAAGCGGCUUACUGGGUCUCUUCUGACGCUGAGAUACGAAAGCCAGGGGAGCGAACCGG
rnacentral:rRNA from 1 species